rnacentral:rRNA from 1 species
UACGGAGGGUGCAAACGUUGCUCGGAAUUAUUGGGCGUAAAGCGCACGUAGGCGGUCUAGCAAGUCGGGUGUGAAAGCCCUCAGCUUAACUGAGGAAGUGCAUUCGAAACUACUAGGCUUGAGUACUGAAGAGGACGACGGAAUUCCCGGUGUAGAGGUGAAAUUCGUAGAUAUCGGGAGGAACACCAGUGGCGAAGGCGGCUUCCUGGACCUGUUCUGACGCUGAGGAGCGAAAGCGUGGGGAGCGAUCAGG